GGUCAGAGUCUGGCGAGCGCAGCUGAUAUGCCGGGACGUCUCCAGUGGCAUCUGAGCAUGGGGGGGAACUCAGCGGUCAGCGCUAUGACCUCAUCUGGUUGUCAUCAUCAUCAUCAUCACAUUAAUAAUCCACCUUCUGUAAACAUUGUGCAAACGACCUCAGAAAAAAAAAAUAAACAACCACCUGGGGUUGUUUAUUGUUUAUGAUUGUUUGUUUAUUAUUGUUUGUUGUUCGUCUUGUCCUUUCCUUCCUGAGGAAGUCGUUCCUCCGGCGUUUCAGGCUGUUGUCAUAGCAACGGUCGGUAGCACUGCCCGCUAAAAAAAAAAAAAGACUGAGCCGCCGCUCCAAACCGAUAGUUGUAACGAUUUGUAAUUAUGUAUUAUUAAGUAUAAUUCACCUAUCCAUCCACGUCAAGUCAUAUAUUGCAGUAUGUUCGUAAAGGAGAAGUAUUGAGAAGGCAGGUCUUUCUGUGUAAUGACGCUAUAGCUGCGGCUACUCGCUUCCCUUGUGACCCCCGCGGUGACGGUUGGAUAUACCCGCUAAACCGACAUUAAUACGACUAGACGUCUCUGUAUACCUGUCAAACACACACACACACACACACACACACACACACACACACACACACACACACACACACACACACACACACACACACACACACACACACACACACACACACACACACACACACACUAUACCCCAACAUGACGAUUUUAUUAUUAUUGUAAUCCAGAAAUGAACUGCCUGCGGUUUGAUUGUGGUGACGUGUUGUACGCGUUCGUGUGUGUGUGUGUGUGUGUGUGUGUGUGUGUGUGUGUGGCAAUGUGAUAACACAGCACUGACGUCAGUUUGUGCGUCUUGCCUCGACCAUUUUUUUUGCAUUUUGUUUUUCCUGCGCGUGUUCCAGGAAAGACGGUGACGUCAAACUGACCAGACUCCUCCUCCGGGAACACGCAGACGCACACACGCACACAUACACACUCACACGCAAAGACCAAACUGUUGCUAGCUAGGUUAGCCGUUCACUCACGGAAAUAUCUAACCAGCUCAUCGCAAAGAGACGAAAUUAGCAAGCUAACUGUUGAGACACAGUGUAGCACAAGCUAACCGCACACAGACGAAGCUAACAAGCUAACCGUUCAGUUGUGUAGCGCAAGCUAACGCUACACAGACAAAGCUAACGGAGAGCUAGGAAGCUACACAGAACUGAGGCUAACACAGGAGCUAACGACCGGCCAACCACCCAGAGGAGUCCUCACUUCUCCACAUCUAUACUCUGCAUACUUCCUGUUACUAGGAGUCGUGUCUCAUGAGUGAAUAAGUCAUUUAUUAAAAAGCAAAACAAUAGGGCAACUCUGGAAAAAGUUUUGUGAAAUGAACAACUUGACUAUUCUGACUUAUCGUGUCAUAAUAUAAAUUGUAGGCAGAAGUGAAGCAGCUCCUAGGCUCAUAAAACAAACAUGAAUUCAGUAUACCGCCUUCGCCUCCUGUGAUUUAGAGACUAUCAUGUUUAACACAAGGUAAUUGUGAUAAAGGCACCAGACUUAUCCGCACCUUACUUAUCUUAGCCCAACAGUUCUAGAAACUACUACAACUAAAAUAGCCUUCACCAAAUGGAGGUUGCCCUCCAGGUCAGAACACACUGACACAGAGAGGACACGGACACAGUGAAAUCUCCACAGGAAACUGUACAAAUGUAAAGGAAAACAAAGCCUACCUGACUCAGUGUCGUCCCCGGUGACAGCCAUGUUCCACGCCUCCAGACCCACAGCACCCCUAAGAGUCGCUCUCAAAUACAAAUUUCCUCAACCCUGUCCCACAGAGUGUUCUUCACUCUGUCUCUCUCUUCUACGGUUCUCUCUGACCCAGUGUCUCUCACUCUCUGAUUCUCUCACUCUCCCUCACUCUCUUGCUGUCUCUCACUCUCUUGCUCUCUCUCACUC